GUAGGUGGGGUAACGGCUCACCUAGGCGACGAUCCCUAGCUGGUCUGAGAGGAUGACCAGCCACACUGGAACUGAGACACGGUCCAGACUCCUACGGGAGGCAGCAGUGGGGAAUAUUGCACAAUGGGCGCAAGCCUGAUGCAGCCAUGCCGCGUGUGUGAAGAAGGCCUUCGGGUUGUAAAGCACUUUCAGCGGGGAGGAAGGCGGUGAGGUUAAUAACCUCAUCGAUUGACGUUACCCGCAGAAGAAGCACCGGCUAACUCCGUGCCAGCAGCCGCGGUAAUACGGAGGGUGCAAGCGUUAAUCGGAAUUACUGGGCGUAAAGCGCACGCAGGCGGUCUGUCAAGUCGGAUGUGAAAUCCCCGGGCUCAACCUGGGAACUGCAUUCGAAACUGGCAGGCUAGAGUCUUGUAGAGGGGGGUAGAAUUCCAGGUGUAGCGGUGAAAUGCGUAGAGAUCUGGAGGAAUACCGGUGGCGAAGGCGGCCCCCUGGACAAAGACUGACGCUCAGGUGCGAAAGCGUGGGGAGCAAACAGGAUUAGAUACCCUGGUAGUCCACGCCGUAAACGAUGUCGAUUUGGAGGUUGUGCCCUUGAGGCGUGGCUUCCGGAGCUAACGCGUUAAAUCGACCGCCUGGGGAGUACGGCCGCAAGGUUAAAACUCAAAUGAAUUGACGGGGGCCCGCACAAGCGGUGGAGCAUGUGGUUUAAUUCGAUGCAACGCGAAGAACCUUACCUGGUCUUGACAUCCACAGAACUUAGCAGAGAUGCUUUGGUGCCUUCGGGAACUGUGAGACAGGUGCUGCAUGGCUGUCGUCAGCUCGUGUUGUGAAAUGUUGGGUUAAGUCCCGCAACGAGCGCAACCCUUAUCCUUUGUUGCCAGCGGUCCGGCCGGGAACUCAAAGGAGACUGCCAGUGAUAAACUGGAGGAAGGUGGGGAUGACGUCAAGUCAUCAUGGCCCUUACGACCAGGGCUACACACGUGCUACAAUGGCAUAUACAAAGAGAAGCGACCUCGCGAGAGCAAGCGGACCUCAUAAAGUAUGUCGUAGUCCGGAUUGGAGUCUGCAACUCGACUCCAUGAAGUCGGAAUCGCUAGUAAUCGUAGAUCAGAAUGCUACGGUGAAUACGUUCCCGGGCCUUGUACACACCGCCCGUCACACCAUGGGAGUGGGUUGCAAAAGAAGUAGGUAGCUUAACCUUCGGGAGGGCGCUUACCACUUUGUGAUUCAUGACUGGGGUGAAGUCGUAACAAGGUAACCGUAGGGGAACCUGCGGUUGGAUCACCUCCUUACCUUAAAGAA
rnacentral:rRNA from 1 species